rnacentral:rRNA from 1 species
AUGCCUUGGCACUGGGAGCCGAUGAAAGACGUGAUAAGCUGCGAUAAGCUUCGGGGAGCUGCAAAUAAGCAUUGAUCCGGAGAUUUCUGAAUGAGGAAACUCACCUGGGUUCAUACUCAGGUACGUUAUACUGAACUUAAAAAUAGGUAUAUCGAGGGAACCGCCUGAACUGAAACAUCUAAGUAGGGCGAGGAAGAGACAUCAAACGAGAUUCCGUAAGUAGUGGCGAGCGAACGCGGAAGAGGGCAAACCGGGAGUAGAAAUACUUCCGGGGUACGGACCGCAUUUAGGACUUAAGUUGUUAACCGAACGGCAUGGGAAGGCCGGUCAGAGAGUGUGAGAACCACGUAGGUGAAAACGACAAGAGCUGAGCGAGUUCCAGAGUACGGCCAGACACGUGAAACCUGGUCGGAAUACGGGGGGACCACCCUCCAACCCUAAAUACUACCCAGUGACCGAUAGCGUAUAGUACUGUGAAGGAAAGGUGAAAAGCACCCCGGGAGGGGAGUGAAAAAGAACCUGAAACCCUGUGCCUACAAGCACCUAGAGCACGUCAAUGUGUGAUAGGGUACUUUUUGUAGAACGGUCCGGCGAGCGAUUGUAUGCAGCAAGGUUAAGGACUUAAGGUCUGGAGCCGAAGCGAAAGCGAGUUUGAAAAGGGCGUUAAGUUGCAUAUAAUGGGCCCGAAACCGGGUGACCUACCCAUGGUCAGGUUGAAGUGGAAGUAAAAUUCCAUGGAGGACCGAACCGACCUCCGUUGAAAAGGCGGCGGAUGAACUGUGGGUAGCGGAGAAAUUCCAAUCGAACCCGGAGAUAGCUGGUUCUCCCCGAAAUAGUUUUAGGACUAGCCUCAAGUUAGAUACCUGGAGGUAAAGCACUGAAUAGCCUAGCGGCCGAGAGGUUAGCGAAGCUUAUCAAACUCAGAAUGCCAGAGUAUUGAUGCUUGGGAGUCAGACAGUGUCAGAUAAAUGUCAUUGUCAAAAGGGAAACAGCCCAGAUCUACAGCUAAGGUCCCAAAGUCAGGUUAAGUGGAAAACGAUGUGAAGAUACGUAGACAACCAGGAUGUUGGCUCAGAAGCAGCCACACAUUCAAAGAGUGCGUAAUAGCUCACUGGUCGAGCGUCUUUGCGCGGAGAAUUUAACGGGGCUAAACCUGACACCGAAGCUUAGGCAAUACAGCAAUGUAUUGGGUAGGGGAGCGUUGUAUACGCGGUGAAACAGUAGCGCAAGCGGCUGUGGAGUGUAUAGAAGUGAGAAUGCCGGAAUGAGUAGCGCGAAUGCAGUGAGAAUCUGCAUGGCCGAAAGCCUCAGGUUUCUGGAGGAAGGUUCGUCCGCUCCAGGUUAGUCGGGAGCUAAGGUGAGGCCUAACGGCGUAGCCGAUGCACAGACGGUAGAGAUUCCGUCACCACCAAAAGAGUUAAACACAGGGACACAUUUGAAGUCUCGGAGCCGGGUGUUGGUUCCGGUAGCGAUCGAGGGAAGUUAGUACCGAAGUCCGGGAUGGAAGAUGGCGAGAAAAGCUGUGUGUAUUUCUGCGGUGCCCGUACCGCAAACCGACACAGGUAGGUAGGAAGAAGAUUCUAAGGCCAACGGGAGAAGGGUUGUUAAGGAACUCGGCAAAUUGACCCCGUAACUUCGGGAGAAGGGGUGCUCCAGAGAUGGAGCCGCAGAGAAUCGGCCCAAGCAACUGUUUACCAAAAACACAGGUUUGUGCUAAAUCGAAAGAUGACGUAUACGAGCUGACGCCUGCCCGGUGCUGGAAGGUUAAGAGGAGAUGUGCAAGCAUUGAAUCGAAGCCCCAGUGAACGGCGGCCGUAACUAUAACGGUCCUAAGGUAGCGAAAUUCCUUGUCAGGUAAGUUCUGACCCGCAUGAAAGGCGUAAUGAUUUGGGCACUGUCUCGACAGCCCGCCCGGCGAAAUUGUAGUACCGGUGAAGAUGCCGGUUACCCGCGACAAGACGGAAAGACCCCAUGGAGCUUUACUGUAGCCUAAUAUUGGGUUUCGAUGUUGCAUGCACAGGAUAGAUGGGACACAGGGAAACAAGUGCUUUGGCAUUUGUGGAGUGGCCGUUGGGAUACCAUCCUUGCGAUAUUGGAAUUCUAACCUGCGCCUUUGAAUCAAGGCGGGGGACAUUGUUAGGUGGGCAGUUUGACUGGGGCGGUCGCCUCCUAAAGAGUAACGGAGGCGUUCAAAGGUUCGCUCAGCUUGAACGGAAAUCAAGCAAAAGAGUGCAAACGCAGAAGCGAGCCUAACUGCGAGACUGACGGGUCGAGCAGUAACGAAAGUUGGAGUUAGUGAUCCGGUGGUAUGUGAGUGGAAAUGCCAUCGCUCAACGGAUAAAAGUUACCCUGGGGAUAACAGGCUGAUCUCCCCCAAGAGUCCACAUCGACGGGGAGGUUUGGCACCUCGAUGUCGGCUCAUCGCAUCCUGGGGCUGUAUUCGGUCCCAAGGGUUUGGCUGUUCGCCAAUUAAAGCGGUACGCGAGCUGGGUUCAGAACGUCGUGAGACAGUUCGGUCCCUAUCUGUCGUGGGCGCAGGAUAUUUGAUGGGAGCUGUUCCUAGUACGAGAGGACCGGAGCGGACGUACCUCUGGCGCACCAGUUGUUCUGCCAAGGGCAUAGCUGGGCAACUAUGUACGGAUCGGAUAAACGCUGAAAGCAUCUAAGCGUGAAGCCGACCCAAAGAUAAGAUAUCCCAUUGUUUCAAACAAGUAAGACCCCUUGAAGACUACAAGGUUGAUAGGCACGAUGUGUAAGUGGAGUGAUCCAUUCAGCAAGCGUGUACUAAUAGGUCGAGGGCUUGACCACAA